rnacentral:rRNA from 1 species
GACGAACGCUGGCGGCGUGCCUAAUACAUGCAAGUCGAGCGCAGGAAAUCGACGGAACCCUUCGGGGGGAAGUCGACGGAAUGAGCGGCGGACGGGUGAGUAACACGUAAAGAACCUGCCCUCAGGUCUGGGAUAACCACGAGAAAUCGGGGCUAAUACCGGAUGGGUCAUCGGACCGCAUGGUCCGAGGAUGAAAGGCGCUCCGGCGUCGCCUGGGGAUGGCUUUGCGGUGCAUUAGCUAGUUGGUGGGGUAAUGGCCCACCAAGGCGACGAUGCAUAGCCGACCUGAGAGGGUGAUCGGCCACACUGGGACUGAGACACGGCCCAGACUCCUACGGGAGGCAGCAGUAGGGAAUCUUCCACAAUGGACGAAAGUCUGAUGGAGCAACGCCGCGUGAACGAUGAAGGCCUUCGGGCCGUAAAGUUCUGUUGUAAGGGAAGAACAAGUGCCGCAGGCAAUGGCGGCACCUUGACGGUACCUUGCGAGAAAGCCACGGCCAACUACGUGCCAGCAGCCGCGGUAAGAC